rnacentral:rRNA from 1 species
UACGUAGGAGGCAAGCGUUGUCCGGAAUUACUGGGCGUAAAGCGCGUGUAGGCGGCAGGCCAAGUCUGUGGUGAAAUCGCUCGGCUCAACUGGGCGGGGUCCAUGGAAACUGGUCAGCUGGAGGACGGUAGAGGUGAGUGGAAUUCCCGGUGUAGUGGUGAAAUGCGUAGAUAUCUGGAGGAACACCGGUGGCGAAGGCGGCAUCCUGGACCGAGAUUGACGCUGAGGCGCGAAAGCCAGGGGAGCAAACGGG